rnacentral:rRNA from 1 species
CACGUAGGGGGCAAGCGUUUGUCCGGAUUUAUUGGGCGUAAAGCGCGUGUAGGCGGCCACACAGGUCCGCUGUGAAAACUCGAGGCUCAACCUCGAGCUGUCGGUGGAAACCGUGUGGCUAGAGUCCGGAAGAGGAGACUGGAAUUCCCGGUGUAGCGGUGGAAUGCGCAGAUAUCGGGAGGAACACCCGUGGCGAAGGCGGGUCUCUGGGACGGUACUGACGCUGAGACGCGAAAAGCGUGGGGAGCGAACAGG